CAAUCACGGGAGGUCAUACCUGCACAAUGCCUCGAGGGGUCAAUUGCCGCGGUAGCCUGACCGUGCUAAGGUAGCGUAAUCAAUAGCCUAUUAAUUGUUGGCCUGUAUCAAUGGUCUCACGCUGGCGGCGCUGUCUCUUCGGUACUUAUUCGAAUUUAACCUGAGGGUGAAAAGGCCCUAAUACAACUGAAAGACGAUUAGACCCUAUCGAACUUUGGGUAGACUGCUUUUGCUACAGGGUAACGCCUAUGACAUGUAGAAAACCUUUGGUUGGGGAAACCGGGAGCCACAUAAAACGCUCGCCCCCCACCCACACUGACACGAGCAACCUGAACAGCCCUAAAAAGCUGCGAAGGGCUCUUACCUUGACCAGCCUACGGGAAACUUAGAUUUUAGCCUUAAACAGAAAUGACAGUGCACAGCUAGAUAAUAUUAUGGACCCAACAAGUGCACCCCGAGUGCCCUCGCCGGGGUAACAAAAAUUCUGCGAGUCCAUUUGGGGGCGCAUAGUUGCGAACAGGGAAGAGUUACCGUAGGGAUAACAGCGUAAUCCUUCCGGAGAGACCACAUUAAGGGAGGGGUUUGCGACCUCGAUGUUGGCUUAGGGCGACCUGGAAGUGCAGGGGCUUCCAAGGGUUGGUCUGUUCGACCAUUAAAG
rnacentral:rRNA from 1 species